ACGCUGGCGGCAGGCCUAACACAUGCAAGUCGAGCGGCAGCGGGAAGUAGCUUGCUACUUUGCCGGCGAGCGGCGGACGGGUGAGUAAUGUCUGGGAAACUGCCUGAUGGAGGGGGAUAACUACUGGAAACGGUAGCUAAUACCGCAUGACGUCGCAAGACCAAAGUGGGGGACCUUCGGGCCUCACGCCAUCGGAUGUGCCCAGAUGGGAUUAGCUAGUAGGUGAGGUAAUGGCUCACCUAGGCGACGAUCCCUAGCUGGUCUGAGAGGAUGACCAGCCACACUGGAACUGAGACACGGUCCAGACUCCUACGGGAGGCAGCAGUGGGGAAUAUUGCACAAUGGGCGCAAGCCUGAUGCAGCCAUGCCGCGUGUGUGAAGAAGGCCUUAGGGUUGUAAAGCACUUUCAGCGAGGAGGAAGGCGUUGUAGUUAAUAGCUGCAACGAUUGACGUUACUCGCAGAAGAAGCACCGGCUAACUCCGUGCCAGCAGCCGCGGUAAUACGGAGGGUGCAAGCGUUAAUCGGAAUUACUGGGCGUAAAGCGCACGCAGGCGGUUUGUUAAGUCAGAUGUGAAAUUCCCGAGCUUACUUGGGACUGCAUUUGAAACUGG
rnacentral:rRNA from 1 species